rnacentral:rRNA from 1 species
CACGUAGGGCGCAAGCGUUGUCCGGAAUUAUUGGGCGUAAAGAGCUCGUAGCGGUCUGUUGCGUCUGCUGUGAAAACUCGGGGCUUAACCCCGAGCCUGCAGUGGAUACGGGCAGACUAGAGGUAGGUAGGGGAGAAUGGAAUUCCCGGUGUAGCGGUGAAAUGCGCAGAUAUCGGGAGGAACACCGGUGGCGAAGGCGGUUCUCUGGGCCUUACCUGACGCUGAGGAGCGAAAGCGUGGGGAGCGAACAGG